AGCAGCCGCGGUAAUUCCAGCUCCAAUAGCGUAUAUUAAAGUUGUUGCAGUUAAAAAGCUCGUAGUUGAAUUUCGGGAUCAAUAUGUUGGUCGUGCCUUGGUACGUACUGGCAUUAUCGAUUCCUACCUUCUGAAGAACCUCGAUGUCAUUAAUUUGGUGUCUUGGGGAAUCAGGACUGUUACUUUGAAAAAAUUAGAGUGUUUAAAGCAGGCUCGCGCUUGAAUACAUUAGCAUGGAAUAAUGAAAUAGGACGUUUGAUUCUAUUUUGUUGGUUUCUAGGAUCGACGUAAUGAUUAAUAGGGAUAGUUGGGGGCAUUAGUAUUCAAUUGUCAGAGGUGAAAUUCUUGGAUUUAUUGAAGACUAACUACUGCGAAAGCAUUUGCCAAGGAUGUUUUCAUUAAUCAAGAACGAAAGUUAGGGGAUCGAAGACGAUCAGAUACCGUCGUAGUCUUAACCAUAAACUAUGCCGACUAGGGAUCGGAUGAUGUUAAUUUUU
rnacentral:rRNA from 1 species